CCCUAAGUGUCCCUGUCCCCUGAGUGUCCUCAGGUGACCCCAUGCCCUGUCUGUGUGUCCCCAAGUGUCCCCGUCCCCUGAGUGUCCUCAGGUGACCCCAUGUCCUGUCUGUGUGUCCCAAGUGUCCCCAUGUCCCCUGAGUGUCCCCAGGUGACCCCAUGCCCUGUCUGUGUGUCCCCACGUGUCCCCAUGUCCCCUGAGUGUCCCCAGGUGCCCCCAUGUCCCAAGUGUCCCCAGAUGUCCCUGUCCCCUAUCUGGAUGUCCCCAGAUGCCCCCAUACCCUGUCUGGCUGUCCUCAAAUUGUCCCCAUCCACACCCUGUCUUGCUGUCCCCAAGUGUCCCCCAUCCCUGUCCAGCUGUCCCCAGCUGUCCCCAUGUCCCCAGACGCCAUCCUAACCCGCUGUCCCUGCUGUGACCCGCUGUCCCCAGCUGACCCCAUUGCUGGGCUGUCACUCCCGGUGACAAAGUGACCCCUGGUGGCCCUGCGGUGCCAUUCGUGUCCCCGGCUGUCACCAGGAAUCCUGCCUGGCUGUCACUGCCAGCUGUCCCCGUGUCCCCUUUGGCUCCGCUGUCACCUCCAGUGCCUCCUGUCCCCUAUGGGUGCCUCAUUGUCCCCCUGAGUGCCUCGUUGUCCCCUAUGGGUGCUUACUGUCCCCUUAAGUGCC
rnacentral:lncRNA from 1 species